ensembl:lncRNA
GAGGCAUGUUUUAUUUUGAAUAUGUUGCAUUUUGUUUCUUUCAAGACAUCUUAAUAUGUUAUCUUACUCCUACCUGAGGCAGCCCAGAUGAAAUAUAUUGCAUUUUCUGGAUAAGCAAACUAAGGUGUCAGGGGAUUUAGGCUUGCCUCAAGUCACACAGGGGCUUCCCAGGUGGCUCAGUGGUAAAGAACCUGCCUGCCAAUGCAGGAGACAUAAGAAACCCAGGUUCGAUUCCUGGGUCGGGAAGAUUCCCUGAAAGAGGGCAUGGCAACGCACUCCAGUAUUCUUGCCUGGAGAAUCCCGUGGACAGAGGAGCCUGGUGUGCUGCAGUCCAUCAGGUCACUAAGAGUCGGACACUAAAACGACUUAACACGAACACACAAGUCAUACAGAUGAUCAAUGGAAGGAGCAGACUUGUUAUUUAGUUGCACUGAGUCUUCUGGUGGCUCACGGACUGUGUUGCCCCGCAGCAUGUGAGAUCUUAGUUCUCUGACCAGGGAUGGAAGUGGUGUCCCCCACAUUCCAAGAUGGAUUCUUAACCACCGGACCACCAGGGAAGAAGUCCCAGGAGCAGACUGACCACCUGCCCUUUCCACCAUUACCCGUAUGUGCAUGUGAGAGCCCCCCCAACCAGGAUCUCCACUUAGCAGCUACUGUGAAGGCUCCCCAGGGGACCCAAAUGGCUUCUGGAUCCACACCUGGCCUCUCAUCAGAGACUAGUCAGCCCUGGAGGGCAGUCCUGCGGCUACCAUUCCAUCCACUGAGGCCUUAGGAUCUUCCCAUCUCCCAAUGGCUGGGAGCCUCAUAUAUUCAGGGCUGGUAUUCCCAAUGGGCGUAGAAUUGCCAAGGAAACACUACUGAGACCUCUGGCCAACCCAAUGUGCAGAGGUUUGAAGCCUCAGAGAACCUCAGUAUCGCUCUAAACUAUUCCUCUGGAACCCAGGGAAGGGAUGAGAUGACCUCUAUACCUCUUUCUGUUAUAGAAGUCUAUGAAGAGGAGGCUGGAGGGAAAGGAGCCAGUUUGGGAGGGAGACAGGCUGGCUGGCUUUGGAGCCUGGUCCUCUGGCCACUCACUGCUCUUUUCACUGUCCCUUGGCACCUGGUGAAAGUAGGCAAGGGGCUCUGGAGGGAAGGCCACGCAGAAGCUAUUCAGAGACCAACCCGCAUUGCCUGAUGAGAGGGUGGGGACAGCCCGUGGCUGUGGAAUCUGUCCUCCACACUGGGGCUUCCCCACUGGACUUCUCAGACCAUCACUCCAGGGGUUGCCUGGGAACUCCAGCAAGGACCCUGACCAGGCUCUGGCCAAAGCCCUGGAGUGGAGGGGAGGAGCCCAGGAGAGCAGCCCAGCCCUCCCGCAGGCAUCCUGCCAGGCCUCUCCAGCCUUAGAGGAGCUGCGAAGGUCAGCCAAGGGGCCCUGCUGCAACAAGAGACCUUGUACCCACACCAGGAUAAGGACUGAGCUGGUCCGUCCUGAGUGGGGGAAGGGAGGGGCCUCAACCACAGCAGAAGAUACAAGACCCUGGUACCAUCAGGCUGGACUCCGUCAUUGGUAUGAGAGACAUCUGGAGAGGAAGAAUCUAUAGGGGCCAGAUUCCCAGUAGAGGCUGCAGGCCCCUGAGAGAAAGAUGGAGCAAUGGCCAGAGGUGCCUGGAGGACUUGCUGCACGUGCCCGGGGUAGACACGUUGCUUCGCGCACAAGCUGCUCCGCACGUUCUGAGCUCUGUCUGUAAACUCGACACCCAGUACCAUUCCUCCACUGUGCACUGUACAUGAGCUUUCCGCGGGAUGAUGCAUGAUGGUGAAUCACCCCAGUCUAGCUUCCCACCAUGAGCAACACAGCAAAUCCGGAGAUGACUGACCAGGAUCCAGCGGCAAGGGGUCACCAGUUUGCUCCUGGUCCAGGAAGAUCCCAUGUGCCACCGAGUAACAAAGUAACAAACCCUGUGCACCAAAACUACUGAGCCUGCGCUCACUCUUGAGCCUCCAGCCGCAAUUACUGAAGCCCCUGGCCUCUGCUCCACGAGAGAAGGCACUGCAAGGAGAAGCCCGCACACUGCAACUAGAGUGUAGCCCCUGCUCA